rnacentral:lncRNA from 1 species
UUGUUGUGUGAAGUGAUUUCAUUGAGGAGUGGGUGAAAAUUGGUUUACCAGCAAAAGCAAAGGUGAAAUCACAACAUGGAGAUGCACCUUUUGGAGAGCUAUGCACACAUUGUGAGAAGGUAUGAGAAAAGACAACAAAUUAACCAAGCCAUUAAUUUCAUAAAUAUAUUUUUUAUUUUUUACAAUAUUGAAAGAGUUGUUAGUGAAUGUAUCUAAGAAGUUAAAUUUGGAAUAUGUUGUGUGCAGGAAUCAGUGAAUGUUUCACUUGGAAACCUUCUAACAUACCCAUUUGUGAGAGAGGGUUUGGUGAACAAAACAUUGGCAUUGAAAGGAGGAUACUAUGACUUUGUUAAAGGAUCUUUUGAGCUUUGGGGACUUGAGUUUGGACUUUCUAACACUUUCUCCGUAUGAACAUCAACCAUAUAUCAAUCACCACAUCUCUAAGUAUUCUCCUCCCUAAAAUGUACUAUCAUGUAAUUUAUCCUUCUUAAUUAAUUAUCACCUAAAUUUUCAAAUAACCCUCUUGUUAACUAUUAUAAAAAAUAAGUGAUUUUGGUAUUUUAUAAUUUAUAUAUUAUUUUAAAAAAAAAUUGAAGUUGUUUUGUGUUUGUUUACCGCGAUGAUAUUUCGUUUUAAAGAAUAAUCAGUUAUCAAUAACGAUUUUUAUUAGAAACUAUUAAAAAUAGACUCAUUUAAAAAAAAAAAUUUGAUUUUUUUUUCUUUUAGAUUCUGACUUUUAUUUCAUAGAUAAAUAAGUAAGCAAGCUAGAAGCAAAAUGUAAUUUAUGGUGUUUCACCACUAAAUUUGUGUUGUUUGUUAGGUAAAAGAUGUGGCCACGAUUCUACAUUGGAAGCUAUAAUGUGAAGCUUAGAGGUCCUGUGUCUG